rnacentral:rRNA from 1 species
GACGGAGGAUGCAAGUGUUAUCCGGAAUCACUGGGCGUAAAGCGUCUGUAGGUGGUUUAAAAAGUCUACUGUUAAAAAUUGAAGCUUAACUUCAAAGAUGCCGUAGAAACUUUUAAACUCGAGGAUGGUAGGGGUAGAGGGAAUUUCCAGUGGAGCGGUGACAUGCGUAGAUCUUGGAAAGACCACCAAUGGCGAAGGCACUCUACUGGGCCAUUACUGACACUAAGAGACGAAAGCUAGGGGAGCAAAUGGG